rnacentral:rRNA from 1 species
UCACCUACGGGCGGCUGCAGUAGGGAAUAUUGGUCAAUGGAUGAAAGUCUGAACCAGCCAUGCCGCGUGCAGGAAGAAGGCGUUAUGCGUUGUAAACUGCUUUUGCCAGGGGAUAAAAUGAGCGUGCGCGCUUAAUUGAAGGUACCUGGUGAAUAAGCCACGGCUAACUACGUGCCAGCAGCCGCGGUAAUACGUAGGUGGCAAGCGUUGUCCGGAUUUAUUGGGUUUAAAGGGUGCGUAGGUGGCCCUGUAAGUCAGUGGUGAAAUAUCUCAGCUUAACUGAGAGGGUGCCAUUGAUACUGCAGGGCUUGAGUACAGAUGAGGUAGGCGGAAUUGACGGUGUAGCGGUGAAAUGCAUAGAUAUCGUCAAGAACACCGAUAGCGAAGGCAGCUUACCAAGCUGUAACUGACACUGAGGCACGAAAGUGUGGGGAUCAAACAGGAUUAGAUACCCUUGUAGUCA